rnacentral:rRNA from 1 species
UACGGGGGGAGCAAGCGUUGUUCGGAUUUACUGGGCGUAAAGAGCGCGCAGGCGGUUGCGCAAGUCGCGUGUGAAAGCCCCCGGCUCAACUGGGGAGGGUCACGCGAUACUGUUCGACUUGAAGGCAGGAGAGGGAAGUGGAAUUCCCGGUGUAGUGGUGAAAUGCGUAGAUAUCGGGAGGAACACCGGUGGCGAAGGCGACUUCCUGGCCUGUUCUUGACGCUGAGGCGCGAAAGCUAGGGUAGCAAACGGG